AUUGAACGCUGGCGGCAGGCUUAACACAUGCAAGUCGAGCGGAGAUGAGGUGCUUGCACCUUGUCUUAGCGGCGGACGGGUGAGUAAUGCUUAGGAAUCUGCCUAUUAGUGGGGGACAACAUUCCGAAAGGAAUGCUAAUACCGCAUACGUCCUACGAGAGAAAGCAGGGGAUCUUCGGACCUUGCGCUAAUAGAUGAGCCUAAGUCGGAUUAGCUAGUUGGUGGGGUAAAGGCCUACCAAGGCGACGAUCUGUAGCGGGUCUGAGAGGAUGAUCCGCCACACUGGGACUGAGACACGGCCCAGACUCCUACGGGAGGCAGCAGUGGGGAAUAUUGGACAAUGGGGGGAACCCUGAUCCAGCCAUGCCGCGUGUGUGAAGAAGGCCUUAUGGUUGUAAAGCACUUUAAGCGAGGAGGAGGCUACUGAGAUUAAUACUCUUGGAUAGUGGACGUUACUCGCAGAAUAAGCACCGGCUAACUCUGUGCCAGCAGCCGCCGUAACAC
rnacentral:rRNA from 1 species